rnacentral:lncRNA from 1 species
GCAGGAAACAGAGGUAUCACAACCUCUUCUUCUUCUCUUCUCCUUCUUCUCCUCUUCGAACGCCCCACACCUCUCCUCUGUUUCCACCUGCAGGAAACAGGGGUGCUGCAGCCCUAGUUGCUGCCACCUCUCGCUCCUCUCCCUCUUCCCUCUCCUCUUUCUUCUUCUAUUAUUCUCUUCUCCCUCUUCUUCCUCCUCUCUUCUUUUCCCUCUUCUUCUUCUUUUCUUCUUCUCCUCUUCUUCCUUUCUCCUCCCCAACGCCCCACAGCUCCUCGCUGCAGCCACCUCUUUUCUUUUUCUUCUUCUUCUACUUCUUCUUCUUUUUCUCUUCUCCCUCUUCUUCCUCUCUUCGUCUCCCCACACCCCACCGCUCCUCUCUCUGUUCGAGAAACAGAGAGCGUGGGAGGCGGUGGGAUAAAACCGAAAUUUUCGGUUUUCUUUAUUUUUUUCUUUUUGCAACUUAGCAGUUUAGUCUUUGAAAUUUCUAUAUUUACAUAUAGGUCCUCCAAUUUACAUAUAAGUCCUUAUUAAUAAAUUUUCAAAAGUGAGGGAUAUUACACUCUCCCCCCCUUAAAAGAAAAUUUAGUCCUCUAAAUUGAUCAUAGCUCAAUCGAUGAAAAGAUGAGGAUUAUGAUUUCUUUAUUUCUUUCUCUUGCUCUCAAAUAAUU